rnacentral:rRNA from 1 species
UACGGGGGGGGCAAGCGUUGUUCGGAAUUACUGGGCGUAAAGGGCUCGUAGGCGGCUAACUAAGUCGGAUGUGAAAUCCCCAGGCUCAACUUGGGAACUGCAUCCGAUACUGGAUGGCUUGAAUUCGGGAGAGGGAUGCAGAAUUCCAGGUGUAGCGGUGAAAUGCGUAGAUAUCGGGAGGAACACCAGUGGCGAAGGCGACUACCUGGGCUGAUCUUGACGCUGAGGCGCGAAAGCGUGGGGAGCAAACGGG